UAUUUAUCAAUUUAUACUGUUAAAAACGGGCUUGGCUAGCAGAAUAACGAUACAGUGAUGCAGGCGUGCUAUGUGUACUUUAUGUUGAUGUAUAAAGACCAGUUUUUAACAGUAAAAAUUGAUAAAGUUUUUAAUA
rnacentral:pre_miRNA from 1 species